UCACCUGGUUCUUCUCAACGGAGGCUUCCCAACCUGCUCAAAACCCGCGGCAACAUGGAGCAAUGGCUACUUAACAAGCACAGAAAGGCUCUCAUUGCCUUAAGAACAAGGUGCAUGGGAGGUCAUCACCUAUCAGCCCCGACGCCGACGAAGGCAUACCACACUUGAAUGAUCUAUUUGAUUAUAAACCCGAGAAGCU
rnacentral:lncRNA from 1 species